AGCGAACGCUGGCGGCAGGCCUAACACAUGCAAGUCGAACGGACCCUUCGGGGUUAGUGGCGGACGGGUGAGUAACACGUGGGAACGUGCCCUUUGGUUCGGAACAACUCAGGGAAACUUGAGCUAAUACCGAAUGUGCCCUUCGGGGGAAAGAUUUAUCGCCAUUGGAGCGGCCCGCGUCUGAUUAGCUAGUUGGUGGGGUAAUGGCCUACCAAGGCUACGAUCAGUAGCUGGUCUGAGAGGAUGAUCAGCCACAUUGGGAUUGAGACACGGCCCAAACUCCUACGGGAGGCAGCAGUGGGGAAUCGUGCGCAAUGGGCGAAAGCCUGACGCAGCCAUGCCGCGUGAAUGAUGAAGGUCUUAGGAUUGUAAAAUUCUUUCACCGGGGACGAUAAUGACGGUACCCGGAGAAGAAGCCCCGGCUAACUUCGUGCCAGCCGCCGCCGUAACAC
rnacentral:rRNA from 1 species